UGCUGGGUACACUUUCUUUUACAGUCCAGCCAUGAGGCUGCCCUUCCACGCAGCACAAAGACAAGUCCCUCGCACAGACCAGGUCCGAAUGUUUACAAAGCACUCUCGCACACAUUAACUCGUCAGCAGAGAAUCCGCUGACGGGGCCAAGAUGAAAAAUGGACGGCCGAAGGGUAAUACAUCAUGGACCAGAAUAAUCGUUUAGCCCCUUGGAUAGAGGCUUCCAUCCAAGCUUGGAUUACAGCUCUCAGCCACACACAAGGCAGAUCGAUAGCAACACCAUCUUCACUCCGGAAGGGAUUGUGGAGAUGACCGUCUUUGUCAGCCCAGGCUCCAUGAGAAAGUGCCCUGAGUAGUUGGCUCAAACAACAGAUAUAUGCCUUUCAAUUCUGGUCAGAGAGGCAGCACGGAUGGGUUCUAGUGAAGGCCUCUUCUUGCCUGGCAGAAAGUCACUGAGGUGGUAUGGAUGGGAAACAUCCCCUCACAUGCCUGUGCGCUUGCCCACUAGGCGGUGGCACUGUUCUAGAAACCUGUGGGAAUCUUUAGGAGGUGGAGUCUAGCUGGAGGAAGUGCGUCACCGGUGGCGGCUCCUUUCCACUUCCGGUCUGCUCUCUGCUUCCUGGCUGUGGGCAAAUAAUGAGCAGCUGCCUCAUGGUCCUGGCGAGGUGCCUUCCUUUGUCAUGCCUGACUCCGUCUCCUCAGACUCUGAGAUGGAAUGAACCCUUUCCACCCACUUGUCAUGUAUCCAGCUGCAGCAAUAAGGAGAGAAGAACAGAAGAGACAUAUUGAUGUGUCUCCCUUUGUGGAGAAAGGACGAGGUCACGGAGGAUUUUCCAAAUUUAUUUGACAACAUACGGAAUAUACAUUCUGCCUGCUUUCGAGAGGGAUUAGAGUCAUGGCGGAAUCCAGGGGAACCCAGUUCCAGAAAAGCAAAAAGCUCUCGGUGGACUGGGACACGCUGGAGUCCACACUCAGGAGGCCGAGACAGGAAGGACUGUGAAUUCAAGGCCAGGCUGGGCUAUCCAGAGACCCUGUCGGAGAGAGCACCAGCAACAAUGAAAAAAAAAAAAAAUCAAAAGCUGAGCCCUGUUUCUUGCUUGGCCAAAUGAGGUGUGCUAACCCCUCCUCACUCUCCCAAUAUCUCUCCAAACACGUGCCGCACACCUAUGCAAACGUCCAGAACACCAAGGAAAUUAGAGAGCCGGAUGAAAGGCAAGUGGGGGUUCGGGGCGUGCGCAAAGGUAGUCUCAAAAUAAAAUAAAAUUAAAAAUUCCGACGACGGCUUUGAAAACCAGCUGCAGUUUUUCUGAUAAAAAAAAAAAAACGUAGUCUUGUGGGGUUAAUUCCAGGCC